UUGGCUGCAGGUACUGUGGUCCUUCCAGACAGCUCCCUUCCAAGCAUGAGUCACAUCCAGGCCAGUUCGUUCCCUCUUCUGGUUAUGCCAUCUCCACAUUUGGCCUCGGCUGUCAUUGCGGCAAGAAAAGAGAGAGGAAUCAAGAAUGAUAAAGUGCUCUUCUCUUUGUGCUUUGUCCCAGAAGUGACACAUGUCAUUUCCACUCACGGCUCAUUUGUCAAAACGAGUCGCAUAGGCCCUCCUAACUGCAAGGGAGCUGGGGAGUCUUGGGAGCACAUGGAUAUUCAAUGACUAAUAAAUUACAAUAAAUUAUAUCCCUCCAGCUGUAAUUGAACUUACAAUGAACUCCUCGAAGUUUUUCAACUAAAAGUUAUUUCCAAAACAAUAUAAAACCAUGGUGUGAUCGCCAGUAUUUGAAGAAGCAGACCCUCUGCUCUCUCCCCGCUACAGCAGUUAAUUUUUUAAGAAGUUCUGAUACCUUCAAAACAUAAAACACAGCAUGGGACUUUUCUUCAACAGCUUCCUUACAUUUAAAAGGAAAGAAUUGGAUUUAAUGAUUUCUAACGUCACUGAAGAGCCCUUUAAAUUACUGUUCAACUACCAAAAACAGUCGUUUUUUAAGUAGAGCCAUUUUUUUCAGGAUUCUGGGUUUUUAAACCCAAACUGUAUUUAUGCACUAGAAGUUCCAGUCUCUUGAAAAAAACAUUUUAUAAGUAAGUUGCAGAUGUGGGCAAAUUUUAUGCAUCUGCUUUAUAUCACAUAGAAUUUCUCAAACUCCUGGCCUCAAAUGAUCCUCUUGCUUCAGCCUUCCAAAGAAUUCCAGGUGUGUCCGGAAUUGGUGGGUUCUUGGUCUCACUGACUUCAAGAAUGAAUCCGCGGACCCUCACGGUUGAGUGUUACAGUUCUUAAAGAUAGUGUGUCUGGAAUUUGUUCCUUCCGAUGUUUGAACAUGUCCAGAGUUUUUUCCUUCUGGCAGGCUCCUGGUCUCACUAGCUUCAGGAGUGAAACUGCAGACCUCCGCAGUGAGUGUUACAGCUCUUUAAAGCACCACGGACCCAACUACUUAGCAGCAGCAAAAUUUAUUGCAAAGAGCAAAGGAACAAAACCUCCACAAAAGACAAGGUAACCCAACUAGGUUGCCUUGCCGGUUCCAGCAGCCUGCUUUUAUUCCCUUAUUUGGCUGCACCCACAUCCUGUUGAUUGGUCCAUUUUACAGAGAGCUGAUUGGCCCAUUUUACAGAGAGCUGAUUGGUCCGUUUUGACAGAGUACUGAUUGGUCUGUUUAUAAUCCCUGAGCUAGACACAGAGUGCUGAUUGGUGCAUUUACAAUCCUCUAGCUAGACAUAAAAGUUCUCCAAGACCCCCACCUCACUCAGGAGCCCAGCUGGCUUCCCCUAGUGGAUCUCUCAUCAGGGCCACCGGUGGAGCUGCCUGCCAGUCCUGCCACCUGCGCACACUCCUCAGCCCCCUGGGUGGUGGAUGGCACCAAACGCUGUGGAGCAGGGGGUGGUGCCCCCCGGGAAAGCUCGGGCCGCGCGGGAGCCCACGGUGUGGGAAUGUUUUUGUUAUUCAUGACAAGCACCUUGGACCACACCUGAUAGUUAUCAGUAACAAGGCCGUUACAAGAUAGUUUAUGUUAACAAGAUGAUUCAAGGUGGGGCUGGCCACGAGAGAAGACCAAGUGAUUAGAAGACUGGGGCUUUCUCGUCUGGGAAGUGAGGAGCGUCUCUCCUCGGCCGCCACCCCGUCUGGGAAGUGAGGAGCGCCUCUGCCCGGCCACUGUGCAACCUUCCAAGUGCGAAGUGACAGCCUUGCGUGUGAUCUUUUCUGUCUUCCCCAAGUUUGCAUUUUCGACAUUCAAGUUUACUUUUUAGUUAAAAGUUAAAAAAAAAAAAGACUGGGGUUUUGGGCCACGUCACUUCACCCUGACUUCCAGGCAGGGGAGGGAGACUGGCAGUUGGGUUCAGCCACGUGGACAAUAAUUCAAUCAAUUGUGCCUAUUGUACGAAGCCCUAAUAAAAAUUCUGGACAUAAGAGCUGGGUGAGUUUCCUUCUCAGUAUCGUCCCCUUUGUUGAUGGGAGG
rnacentral:lncRNA from 10 species